CUUAUUUUUUUAUCUUUUUUUUUUUUUAAGAAAACUGGUACCAGUUGGUUACCAGAAAAUGACAUGAUCUUCAAGAAAAGAAAAUUUUUCCUGAUGAAUAUAUCCUAUCUCCCCAAUAUCCUUGAAGUAAAAGGAUUGAGAACUAGAUCUUUUAACUCAGAGAAACAUAUGUGCAUGGAGGAUGUUAAUAAAGAGGAUGUCAUUUAAUUGCUGUUUGGGGUUUGUUAUCCUCAUACUCUGCUACCUCCAGGCAUUAAGGUAAUGAUAAUAAACCCAAGAGGAUUAAGCAAUUCCCACCACCCAUCCUCUCCCUGUCAGCCUCCUGAAGCUCCCCCACCCUCCUCCAGGUUAAAUAUACUUCCUGGAAUUAGAAUACCUUGGAAUAAUUUCUUUUUAUUAUGAAAAUUUUCAAACAUACAGAAGAGUAGAGACCUAAAUCUAAUGAGAACCCAUAUACCCAUUACUUUGAUCCAAGAAUUAUCAUUUUGCCAUAUCUGUUUCAUCUUUUUUUCCUUGAAAUAUUUUUAAGUAAAUUAUAGAAGUUAUGACAUCUCACACCAAAAUACUUAUGCAUACGUCAUUAUGGUGGAUCAUUUCUUAAAUGUUAAAGGUUUUGGGUAUCACUCCACUUGCU